rnacentral:rRNA from 1 species
AGCGAACGCUGGCGGCAGGCCUAACACAUGCAAGUCGAACGGAUCCUUCGGGAUUAGUGGCGGACGGGUGAGUAACACGUGGGAACGUGCCUUUUGGUUCGGAACAACUCAGGGAAACUUGAGCUAAUACCGGAUGUGCCCUUCGGGGGAAAGAUUUAUCGCCAUUAGAGCGGCCCGCGUCUGAUUAGCUUGUUGGUGAGGUAAAGGCUCACCAAGGCUACGAUCAGUAGCUGGUCUGAGAGGAUGAUCAGCCACAUUGGGACUGAGACACGGCCCAAACUCCUACGGGAGGCAGCAGUGGGGAAUCUUGCGCAAUGGGCGAAAGCCUGACGCAGCCAUGCCGCGUGAAUGAUGAAGGUCUUAGGAUUGUAAAAUUCUUUCACCGGGACGAUAAUGACGGUACCCGGAGAAGAAGCUCCGGCUAAC